UACAGAGGGGGCUAGCGUUAUUCGGAAUUAUUGGGCGUAAAGGGCGCGUAGGCGGCCACGCGUGUCUUUCGUGAAAUCCCUCGGCUUAACUGAGGACGUGCGGAAGAAACUGCGAGGCUUGAGUCCGGGAGAGGGGGGUGGAAUUCCCAGUGUAGCGGUGAAAUGCGUAGAUAUUGGGAGGAACACCGGUGGCGAAGGCGGCCCCCUGGACCGGUACUGACGCUGAGGCGCGAAAGUGUGGGUAGCAAACGGG
rnacentral:rRNA from 1 species